rnacentral:rRNA from 1 species
UGCCAGAGGAUGGGGCUGCGGCCGAUCAGGCCGUUGGCGAGGUAACGGCUCACCAAACCUUUGACCGGUACGGGCCAUGAGAGUGGUAGCCCGGAGAUGGACACUGAGAUAGGGGUCCAGGCCCUACGGGGCGCAGCAGGCGCGAAAACUCCACACUGUACGUAAGUACGAUGGGGUUACCUCGAGUGUAGUCUGUAAAAGAUUGCUUUUCCAUAGAGUAAUAUCCUGUGGGAAUAAGAGGGGGGCAAGACUGGUGUCAGCCGCCGCGGUAACACCAGCCCCUCGAGUGGUAGGGACUUUUAUUUGGCCUAAAGCGUUCGUAGCCGUCUGUAACCGUUGCCCGUUAAAUCCAGCGUCUCAAACGUUGGACUGCGGGCGAUACCUUACAGAUUGAGGGUGGGAUAGGUAAGCGGUAUUUCUGGGGUAGGGGCGAAAUCCUUUGAUCCCAGGAGGACCACCAGUGGCGAAGGCUGCUUACUAGAACACGCCUGACGGUCAGGAACGAAAGCUGGGGUAGCGAACCGGAUUAGAUACCCGGGUAGUCCCAGCUGUAAACGAUGCGCGCUAGGUGUUGGGUCGGCCAUGCGCCGCCCCAGUGCCGCAGGGAAGCCGUUAAGCGCGCCGCCUGGGGAGUACGGCCGCAAGGCUGAAACUUAAAGGAAUUGGCGGGGGAGCAC